rnacentral:rRNA from 1 species
ACGGGAGGCAGCAGUGAGGAAUAUUGGUCAAUGGGCGGAAGCCUGAACCAGCCAAGUCGCGUGAAGGAAGACGGUAUUAUGUAUUGUAAACUUCUUUAGGCGCAGAGAAAUAAGCUCCUCGUGAGGAGUGAUGCUAGUAUGCGCAGAAUAAGGAUCGGCUAACUCCGUGCCAGCAGCCGCGGUAAUACGGAGGAUCCGAGCGUUAUCCGGAUUUAUUGGGUUUAAAGGGAGCGUAGGCGGGAUGUCAAGUCAGCUGUGAAAUGUAGUCGCUCAACGUCUGCACUGCAGUCGAAACUGGUGUUCUUGAGUGCGUAAGAGGCAGGUGGAAUUCGUCGUGUAGCGGUGAAAUGCAUAGAUAUGACGAAGAACUCCGAUUGCGAAGGCAGCCUGCUGGGCCGCUACUGACGCUGAAGCUCGAGGGUGCGGGUAUCAAACAGGAUUAGAUACCCUGGUA